UACAGAGGGUGCGAGCGUUAAUCGGAAUUACUGGGCGUAAAGCGUGCGUAGACGGUUAUCUAAGUCGGAUGUGAAAGCCCCGGGCUCAACCUGGGAAUUGCAUUCGAGACUGAAUAGCUAGGGUGCGGUAGAGGGAAGCGGAAUUUCCGGUGUAGCGGUGAAAUGCGUAGAUAUCGGAAGGAACAUCAGUGGCGAAAGCGGCUUCCUGGACCAGCACCGACGUCAGGCACGAAAGCGUGGGAGCAAACAGG
rnacentral:rRNA from 1 species